rnacentral:rRNA from 1 species
GACGUAGGGCGCGAGCGUUGUCCGGAUUUAUUGGGCGUAAAGAGCUUGUAGGCGGUUUGUCGCGUCUGCUGUGAAAAUCCGGGGCUCAACCCCGGACUUGCAGUGGGUACGGGCAGACUAGAGUGUGGUAGGGGAGACUGGAAUUCCUGGUGUAGCGGUGGAAUGCGCAGAUAUCAGGAAGAACACCAAUGGCGAAGGCAGCUCUCUGGGACGGUACUGACGCUGAGACGCGAAAGCGUGGGGAGCGAACAGG